AUUGAACGCUGGCGGCAGGCCUAACACAUGCAAGUCGAACGAGUGGCGGACGGGUGAGUAAUGUCUGGGAAACUGCCUGCUGGAGGGGGAUAACUACUGGAAACGUUAGCUAAUACCGCAUACCAUCGGAUGUGCCCAGAUGGGAUUAGCUAGUCGGUGGGGUAAAGGCUCACCUAGGCGACGAUCCCUAGCUGGUCUGAGAGGAUGACAAGCCACACUGGAACUGAGACACGGUCCAGACUCAUACGGGAGGCAGCAGUGGGGAAUAUUGGACAAUGGGCGCAAGCCUGAUGCAGCCAUGCCGAGUGUAUGAAGAAGGCCGUCGGGUUGUAAAGUACUUUCAGCGGGGAGGCGUUACCCGCGGAAGAAGCACCGGCUAACUACGUGCCAGCCGCCGCGGUAAUUC
rnacentral:rRNA from 1 species